CCCCCUCCGCCUCCCCCACCUCUUCUCGCUCUCUCCCUCCCAUUACCGCCGCCGCUGUGUCCUCCGCCGGAGCCUCCUCCUCCUCUUCUCGUCCUUCCUCUCCAAAUCCCCUCCCUCUCCCUUUCGCGGCAUGCGGGGGUGGCGGCGCUGAGGCGAUGACGGGCAUGCAUGCCCGGAUCCAUGGCCGAUCGUCGCUGCUGGGGGCAAAUCAGCGCCGCCGGCCCUGCGACGACGUUGACAAAGACAGUACGCGGUGGGCUACCCGGGGAGGCCGGAUCCAGCGGCGGCAGCAGGGCCAAAGAUGAUGAGGCGCUUCGGUGGCGCCGCCCCUGGCCUACUGCUUAACACGCUGAGUGACACCACCCCUGCUCUGCUCCCUCCACUGCCGAGCCGCCGAGCGGCACCGUCCUUGCCAUGCUCCCUCUGAUCACGCCUCCUUGUUUCGUGUCGAUGAUGGCGCGGCGGCGGCGGCAACGAAGAGGAAGCAGGCAGCAGCAAAGGUCAUGCGCGCACAGUCGAGGAGGGCCGGUGAGCAGUGUCAUGCCAGAUCUUGGAGCGAUUGUUGGUUUUGGCGGUAAGGGUUCGAUCUACUGGACUGAGUGGAGCUGCGUACUUGCUUCACGGUUAGGUCAGAUCUCCUAGGCCAGUUGCUUCUCUUCCCUCCCCCCUGUUCCACACCAUGGCCAGACCCAAUCAUGUCACUUUGUGGAUUGGAUGGAAUAAAGCUGGAUCUAACGGGGCUAUUGGUCAGGAUGAACUGCAGCGUCCCCGCUCCGACAGUACAGUUGGUUGCUCCUCUCAGCCCGUCAUGGCGGAUAAAGUUCGUGCUACUGAUAUAUCGAACCCAACUCGAGGCUGCUUCCUGUCCCAUGUCUCCUGUAUAUCAGCAACAAGAGCUAAGGAUAUGUAGAUAUUCGUUGGUCAUCAAUGCUGCUAUCAACUUGAAAUAGCUAAUCACUAAUGAUGCGAACUACUGGUCAAGGGAUGUGAAGGAAGUGUUUUAUUCUGGAGAUUUGAGCUGCUUGGCUAGCACCAGCCUAAUGAAGCCAUAGGAGAGUGGUUGGACUUCAUGAAGAGUUCCCAUUGGAAUGUUCAGAAAAGGUUAGAGUCACUUAAGAAAUAGAAAGAACAAGACAACUUUAGUGAACAAGGCCUAAUGCCUUGAGUAGCUGAAGGACCCAUGUCGGUGACGAGACAAUAUAGUAUUUUGCUAUAUUCCUAUUUCAAGUAAGUUUUUUGAACAAAUUGCUCAUUAUUUUUGUCUAAUAUAUGAAGAUGGAAACAAAUAGUGCUGAAACUGAAAAGAGGCAAGGAUAUCUACCUAUUGUUUGUUUUCUUCAUGCAUAUGUGCUAUAGCACGUGUGAGUAGGGAAAUACUGAUAUUUAACGGUUGUAGCCUGGAAAAUAGUGAUAUAUGCCAUGGCCUAAGCUUGCUGUGCUGUGGAAACAUUUGGUACAAAGGAUCUGUCCCAGGUUGCUGCACUGAACCUACAUGAAGAGGCAUCAAAUGAAAGAGAAUGUACAAACAGGUUUACAACAUACAUGUCCCAUGUCACUCGCAUAUGAUCUGCAAGUUCAACUUUAUAUAUAACAUGUUUUACUAGAAUUUUAUUUUUAAAUCCCUAAUGUAAGGUUGCACGGGCGUUAAACCACAUGAAUUGUGAUAAAGUGAACUUGUGGUUGCGCAUGAACUAUUAUGGAUAUAUUGAGCUAUUUUGUGACAGUGUUCCAUGUCUUCGCAUUUUAUUUAAUGUUUUCAAUAGAAAUGAACUUUUUCACAGUUUGACCUUGUUAAGGACAAGUUGUGUUUAAUCUGGAAGAUAUAUUGUGCUACUACAAAUAUUGAAUUAUUAUUU